rnacentral:lncRNA from 1 species
CGACGGGGAGAACGUGCUAUGUAUAGGCGCCGAGCUACAGGUGCCGUCAAUUAGCACGGAUUCCUCCGAGCCCGGCAGCUCCGCCCGUGCACCCCCCGCCCUCCAUCCCCGCCCCAGGGGCUGCCGCGGGCGGAGUGGCGGGGGGAGGACCGGAGGAGGCAGGGGAGCCUCGGGGCCGGCCGCUGCCAGCCUCUGCCAGUGCCUCCAACAGUACCUCUAACCCUGGUCCGGAGGAUGCUGCUUGCCCUUCUCCAUCGCCCCCGUGUGAGGGAGCAGCGGGUUGCUCUCCCGAGAGGCUGGAGGGCUCAGCGACCGGCAGCGGACACGAUGCCCCAUGAGCUGACACAGAGCUGUCUGUGCUGUGAGGAAGACCACAGAAUGCCUUGAAAUGGAAAGCAGCAGAAAGGACCUCCAGUUCAGGGAGCUGUCUCAAACACCACUUGAGCAUACAGUAGUUUUUAUAGAAGAGGUAUUUAUAGCCACAUGCUCGUAAUAAAGCAGCAAAGACAAGACA